UGGGGAAUAUUGCACAAUGGGGGAAACCCUGAUGCAGCGACGCCGCGUGAGUGAAGAAGUAUUUCGGUAUGUAAAGCUCUAUCAGCAGGGAAGAAAAUGACGGUACCUGACUAAGAAGCCCCGGCUAACUACGUGCCAGCAGCCGCGGUAAUACGUAGGGGGCAAGCGUUAUCCGGAUUUACUGGGUGUAAAGGGAGCGUAGACGGCGCGGCAAGUCUGAAGUGAAAGCCCGGGGCUUAACCCCAGGACUGCUUUGGAAACUGCCAUGCUGGAGUGCUGGAGAGGUAAGUGGAAUUCCUAGUGUAGCGGUGAAAUGCGUAGAUAUUAGGAGGAACACCAGUGGCGAAGGCGGCUUACUGGACAGUAACUGACGUUGAGGCUCGAAGGCGUGGGGAGCAAACA
rnacentral:rRNA from 1 species